rnacentral:tRNA from 1 species
GGCGCUGUAGCUCAAGUGGUAGAGCGCUUCCCUGGAACUGAAGAGUUGAGGGACAGUGCCC